rnacentral:rRNA from 1 species
AUUGAACGCUGGCGGCAGGCCUAACACAUGCAAGUCGAGCGAUAGGCGGACGGGUGAGUAAUGUAUGGGGACUGCCGGAUAGAGGGGGGUAACUACUGGAAACGAUAGCUAAUACAGCAGACCAUCGGAUAACCCAUAUGGGAUUAGCUGGGGGGUGGGGUAAUGGCUCACCUAGGCGACGAUCCCUAGCUGGUCUGAGAGGAUGAUCAGCAACACGGGGACUGAGACACGGCCAAGCUCCCUCCGGAGGCAGCAGUGGGGAAUAUCGCACAAUGGGGGAAAUCCUGAGACAGCACUGCCGGUUGUAUGAAGCAGGCCUCAGGUUUGUAAAGUCCUUUCAGUCGGGAGGCGUUACCGACAUAGGAAGCACCGGCUAACUACGUGCCAGCAGCCGCGGUAAUUC